rnacentral:rRNA from 1 species
UCCGGUUGAUCCCGCCGGAGGCUACUGCUAUUGGAAUUCGACUAAGCCAUGCGAGUCAAGGUGUCUUCGGACGCCGGCAUACGGCUCAGUAACACGUAGGUAACCUACCCUCAGGACUGAGAUAACCCCGGGAAACUGGGGCUAAUAUUAGAUAGAUAAAAGAUACUGGAAUGUUCUUUUAUCCAAAGCUUUUGCGCCUGAGGAUGGGCCUGCGCCCGAUUAGGUUGUUGGUGGGGUAAUGGCCCACCAAGCCUACGAUCGGUACGGGCAGUGGGAGCUGAAGCCCGGAGUUGGGGACUGAGACAAGGCCCCAGGCCCUACGGGGCGCAGCAGGCGCGGAACCUCUGCAAUGCGGGAAACCGUGACAGGGGGAUUCCAAGUGCUCAUGCAUUGCAUGGGCUGUUCUUUGGUCUAAGUAACCAGAGGAGUAAGGGCUGGGCAAGACCGGUGCCAGCCGCCGCGGUAAUACCGGCAGCUCAAGUGGUAGCCGCGAUUAUUGGGCCUAAAACGUUCGUAGCCGGAUAAGUAAGUCUUUGGUUAAAUCCUGCGACUUAACCGUGGGAAAUCUAGAGAUACUGCUUGUCUUGAGACCGGGAGAGGUUGGAGGUACUCCCAGGGUAGGGGUGAAAUCCUGUAAUCCUGGGGGGACCACCUGUGGCGAAGGCGUCCAACUGGAACGGGUCUGACGGUGAGGGACGAAACCUAGGGGAGCGAGCCGGAUUAGAUACCCGGGUAGUCCUAGGCGUAAAUGAUGCGAGUUAAGUGUGGGGGCAUCCACGAGAUGGCCCUGUGCUGUAGGGUAGCCGUUAAACUCGCUGCCUGGGGAGUACGGUCGCAAGGCUGAAACUUAAAGGAAUUGGCGGGGGAGCACCACAAGAGGUGGAGGCUGCGGUUCAAUUGGAUUCAACGCCGGG